AAUGGUUGUGUAGAAACAGGACAAGCCAUCACUUAAAUUUUUCAAUGAAACUAAAACUGAAACAUAGUUUCAUUGAAAAAUUUAAGUGAUGGCUUGUCCUGUUUCUACACAACCAU